UACGUAGGGGGCAAGCGUUAUCCGGAUUUACUGGGUGUAAAGGGGGCGCAGACGGCGGUGCAAGCCAGGAGUGAAAGCCCGGGGCCCAACCCCGGGACUGCUCUUGGAACUGCGUGGCUGGAGUGCAGGAGGGGCAGGCGGAAUUCCUGGUGUAGCGGUGAAAUGCGUAGAUAUCAGGAGGAACACCGGUGGCGAAGGCGGCCUGCUGGACUGCAACUGACGUUGAGGCCCGAAAGCGUGGGGAGCAAACAGG
rnacentral:rRNA from 1 species